AUGGUAUUUCCUAGGCAAGAAUACUGGCAUGGGUUGCCGUUUCUUUCUCCGGGGCAUCUUCCCCACCCACGGAUUGAAGCUGCUUCUCCUGCUUUGGUAGGUGGAUUCUUCACGACUGCACCACCCGGGAAGCCCUCACUCCCAGACCAAUCAGCUAAGUGAGCUUCAACUCUCCACUGAAGGAAAACAAUGGAAAAGGAAGAUAAGCAGUGCUCCCCACACUUUUUUGGAUUCCUAUUUGGGAGAAUGUCAGGACCACAUUCCCGCAGCAUAUCUGGCAGAAACCACCUGAGGGGGAUCAGAAGAAGAAAUAUCUAAAUGUCUAGUGCCUGACUGAGCUCAGCUCUUCAAAGGGCUAUCAAAGAGAGGCAUCUUGCUGCAAAUUCUGUUUUCAGCCAUCAGGUAUGUCAAAUUCCGAUUACCCCUCAAGCAUGGAGCCUGUUUACAUACUUCAUUCCCUUCCAAAAUGUAUUCUUUUAUUUUUGAGAAAGCCACACUGUUGAGAUGCUCUUUUCUAAUCCUGUAGACUUGGAUGGUAUUUCAGACCCUCACACAUGGCCUCAGUCCUGUUAGCGAUGCUGUCAAUUAACCUCCAUUCAGAGGCAUAAGCCAACAACAGUUGGCUUUAGGUCAGCAGAAGAUUCCACUUUACCUGGUAAUUUUAGGACUGUACCAUCUGGGUGUCAGCAGCACACAGGGAGACAUUUGAGAACAGAUGAAGAAAGGAACCAUUUAUAAGACGGGUGAGGGAAACUCCCAAGAUACUCUUGCUGAACACUGAACUGCCCAAGGCUCUGCUGUCUGGUAUCUACCCCCGUUAUUGACUCAUUUUGCUGUCACCUCUUUGUUGCACUUGUUAUCUUGUGGAUCUUUUGAAGCAAAUUCUAUUGCUGUAUAUGGAAUGCCCUACACUCAACAGUGCCUGGCAUAUGACAGGAGUUCUAUAAAUACACAUUGCGUGCCCACUGAAUGAAUUAUUUGGCACUUGUGUUUUGAGAUAGGCACAAAAUAGUUACACAGUACAUAUUUACCAAACUCAUUCAUUCGAGUGAAUUCCUGAGCAGAGACUUGGGUCCAUGGAAGCACACCUCUGACUAAGUUCUUUUUACCCAGCCUCCAGGUAUACGUGUUCACAGCCAGUCCUUUUGACUUUUGAUGGGCUCCAGGAGAAGAGGUUGAAUAAUAGCAAUCAAUCAACAGCUCUAGCUGUUUGCAGCAACUCUCAAUCUGUUUCGUAAAUAGCUGACUUUCAACAAAUACCAUAUCUGACAAAAUUGAAUCAGAAGUUCCAUUUAACCUGCGGUGUUACGCAUAGAGUAAAUGAGGGUCCUGAGUGCCCCUCACUGUCUGUCUCUUUUCUGGAAUGAUAAAGAAGGAAAUUGCAAGUGGACACCACAAUGAGAGUUUGAACACCAGUGCUUCCUCAGUCAUAAAAAGGAUAUUACUCCUUGGUAAAACACACCACGAGAUGAAACACAGCAGAUUCCUUUACCUUUGGCGUCAUUCAUUUGCCUUGUAAACUGUUUCUCUUGAUAUUUAGAAAGUCAACUAAAUACAACAGAAAAAAAUCUUAGACAUUUGUAUCUUCAAAGGUUUGCAAUGAGACACACAGCAGCAUCAUGUUGUUAGUUUCAGAAGACUAGAUUAACAGCCUUUUUAUAACAAAACCCCAGAGUUCUGAAUUAGCACACUCAAGCUGCCAGUAAGGCAAUGUUAUAUCUACCAUUGUUAUUAUUUAAAACCCAUUGAUUAUAUUUUUGCUAGACCUUGUUUGAUUUUGCAAAAUGAUAACUCUCAGGAAAUUGUCUGCAAUAUAAAAAUAUGAAAAUUUAGUUAUUGUAAGUCAGACAAAGAAAGACCUAUAGUAUACAAUAUCACUUAUUUGUGGACUCUAAAAAGUCAAUAGCAUAGAAACAAGCUAGAAUUGUAGUCACCAGGGGCUGAGGGUCGGGAGAAUAGAGAGAUGUUAGUCAAAGGGUACAAAAUUUUGACUAUAUAAUGAAUAGACUCUUGAGAUCUAAUGUACAACAUGGUACCUAGAGUUAAUAAUACUGUACUCUACACUUGAAAUUCGCUAAGAGACUUGAUCUUAAAUGUUCUCACCAUGAAAAUAAAAAAGGUACCUCUAUGAAGUGAUGGAUGUGU
ensembl:lncRNA